AAUAAUCACAAUUCCCUGUUAUACUGAUAAUGUUCUCACUAACCAUAAUAUGUAGGAACAUUGUUUAUUCUUAGCCAUAGCAUGAAUACAUCUAUCCAGUUCCAUUCUGAUAUUCUUUUUUUCUUUAUAAUUCAUGUGAUAACAAUCUAUAAAUAAACACAAAUAUGCUUUAACUUUUCAAAUUUUCAUUUUGAUUUACUCCUUGCAAUUAAAAUUUUAUUAAAUUCUGCUGCUUUUAUAAAGUAUCUUUUUUUAUCUCUUUCUUUAAGCUCCUGUUGUAAGCAGCCACCUCAAACCUCAUAAAGCUUUGUGCCUUAAAUAUACCAUAUAGUAUACUGUAGAUCUCCCAGUGCAUUAUGAGCUGAUGUCUAGAUAAUCGAUGUCAGUGACAAAAUUUUUCCUAGGUUAAUUUUUGUUUUAAUCCCUUUUUUCUUUCCAUCUAAGAUAAUUUAAAGAAUAAACAGAAAGCUGCCUAUUAUUUUCACUGAUUGAGAUUAUACGUGAGCCCUCUAAGACUGAAACCUCCUUUGAGAGAAAUUGAUUUUGUGGUUGCAGUGGCCAUGAAGGAAAGUGCUCAAAUGAAUUUUGUCAUUGAAUCAACUCCACAUCUUGAGAUCUGUUACUACAACCCUAUCUAUAAGCCUGAAAGUUUCAUAGCAGGAAUCUCAGUUUUGGCUUCUUAAUAUUCCAUUACCAGUUCCCAGUCAGAGGACGGAAUCAGCUUGCACUCAGGUCACUCUCCAGGGUUUUUUCCUGACUGACUGGACAAGAGGGUUUGGGACACUGUUGCUUGUUCCACAGCCCGUUACUGGAUUAACAGGUCAGUGAGACUCCUUCUGGGUCCCUUGACAUAUGGUGCUUGUUCCCACAGCAGUGCUUUUGUUUGUGGAUGGAUGUCUAAUUCAUUGUUUAAAUGGGAGGGACAAAAAAGAGGAAUGUCUUACUCUGCCAUGAUGCUGACCAACUGAGUAGUUUUUAAGAUAGUUCUAUUGUCUCUAAUCUCUCCUUCAUUGCAAAUAAAAUUGGUUAUUACUGAAUACUAUUUUAUGACCCCAAGAGUGUUCACUGCUAGGAUAUGCUUUUGAGUAUCAAUAGGUUCAUCACAAAAUUGUGCAUACUAGGAAGCAGAGUAAACAGCUGAUAUUUCAGUAAUUCCUUGUAAAUAAUACUUUUCGUGAAUGGCUAGUGGUACAGCACUUUUUGUAACUAUAGGACCAGCCCAGGAGCCACUGCAACACUAGUUCUUUUCAAGAAAAUUAACUGGAAUGAAAGGCAGGCUACAAAAGUUUUUUUUCUGUUGCUUAACAUGGUAAUAGUGAGAUUGGAUCAAGAUGGCAGAUGGAACAGAAGAAUCUACUGUCUCUUUGAAUCCUAAAUUCCAUAAGGUGCUAGAGUAGAACAAGAAAAUCUGCUACGGCACUGAAAAAUGAGAGGGCUAGCAAUGGAAUUGAAAUUUUGAGGAAUGCCAGAAAGAGAGCCCAUGGGAUCAAAUUUAUUGGCAAAUAAAAUGAGAAAAAUCACAACACAAAACAGGUAGGCUACUGCAAAGGGAGGAAUGGUUUGGAACCCAGAAUCAAUAGGUGCAAAAAAGCAGGAGGGUGCCCGUGGAUGCUGGGCAGAGUGAGUCAUUAGGGAGCUGACUGAGAAUAACUAAACAAGUCCCAUCCUCCAAAC
ensembl:lncRNA